rnacentral:lncRNA from 1 species
GAAGAGGUGCUGAGUUGGAGUUUGGUCUUCCUGCCUUGGACGUGAUCAAAGCUGUCCCUCUCCCGGUCCGCUCUGUGAGCCUGGCACUUUCCCCAUCGGGUGGUGGUGAGGACCAUCUGAGAUCACCAAUGAGUAUGUUCUGCAAAGGCCUCUGGGGACUCUCUGGGGGCUCCGAAGGAGUGCUGCCCCUUCCCUUUGAGCCUGAGCAGUCAGCAGUCCACCUUCUAGGCUGUUGGAGGAAGGAAGGGAGGAGCCUGUCCUAGCAUACAGAGCAGAUAAGGAGGGCUCUGCCAAGGGUGGGGCUGGCGGUGAUGACUCCUGUGACACCACUGAGGGCGUUUUCUGUAAUGAGGGGUGAUCUCAGGGUGUGCGUAGCUGUUCUCAGUCAUACCUGAAAUUUUGCCGUGUGGUACCACUCUGGGAGACAGACCCUGGCCUAGAUGAAGUUUGGGGCUGACUCAAUGAUGCUUUCCUGACAUGACUCCCAUGCUGGCCAAGCAGCCGGAAUCUUCCAUUGAGGGAAGGCUAAAGGAGGCCAAGUCUCUGCGUGUUGUGUGUGACCUGUAGUAGUCACCUCCUUGUGGGUGAGGAUCAGCGUCAGGAUAACAACCUCCAUGAAAACCAUCCCAAGGAGACCUCUCAGGAACUACGAAGAAAAACUGUGAGUUGUUGGACCCAUGAUUAUGAAGGCAUCCAGAAGUUAACCUUGGAGAUUCAUUGCCCGAAAUUUGGUGAGUCUUGUUUCCUAGGCUGUGGAUGGUACUGUCUGCUCCUCACACUUGGCCAUGUCUCCCUGUGGGCUGUGGUUGUCAUGCACAGAGCACAGCCAUGUACCAGAAUACCAGAUGGGGAGAUGGGUUCUGUCCUCCGUGAGAGCAUUCUGUAACUAGAACACGCAAUGCUGAUUACAGCCCUUCCCAAAGGGCACGAGAACCCAGCCCCAUGGCCCAUAUGCCUCUCUGACUUUUUGGCUCCUCCUUAUGGUUUGAUCUAAGUACCCUUUUCAUGUUGUAUUUAGCACAUGUAUCUUUUAUAUGAAAAACUUUAUACACAUACUUUCGUGAAUUUUUCAUAUCCUGUCAGGUCAUUUUAAACUAUAACCAGUCUUCAGGUUAACUGUAUCCAGAGUUGUAUUCAAAUGUAUCUGGUCUCUUAUCAAUGUGGGUCUUCCACUAGUAAUGCAGAUCAAGGC